GGCAUGCUUAACACAUGCAAGUCGAACGGUAACAGGUCUAGCUUGCUAGACGCUGACGAGUGGCGCACGGGUGAGUAAUGCGUAGGAAUCUGCCUAGUAGAGGGGGACAACUCGGGGAAACUCGAGCUAAUACCGCAUAAUCUCUGAGGAGGAAAGCGUGGGACCUACGGGCCACGUGCUAUUAGAUGAGCCUGCGUCGGAUUAGCUUGUUGGUGGGGUAAAGGCCUACCAAGGCGACGAUCCGUAGCUGGUCUGAGAGGACGAUCAGCCACACUGGGACUGAGACACGGCCCAGACUCCUACGGGAGGCAGCAGUGGGGAAUAUUGGACAAUGGGCGCAAGCCUGAUCCAGCAAUGCCGCGUGUGUGAAGAAGGCCUGCGGGUUGUAAAGCACUUUCAGUGGGGAGGAAGGGGUAUGUCUGAAUGAGGCAUAUCAUUGACGUUACCCAAAGAAGAAGCACCGGCUAACUCUGUG
rnacentral:rRNA from 1 species